CCUACGGGUGGCAGCAGUAGGGAAUCUUCCACAAUGGGCGAAAGCCUGAUGGAGCAACGCCGCGUGGGUGAAGAAGGUCUUCGGAUCGUAAAACCCUGUUGUUAGAGAAGAAAGUGCGUGAGAGUAACUGUUCACGUUUCGACGGUAUCUAACCAGAAAGCCACGGCUAACUACGUGCCAGCAGCCGCGGUAAUACGUAGGUGGCAAGCGUUAUCCGGAUUUAUGGGGCGUAAAGGGAACGCAGGCGGUCUUUUAAGUCGGAUGUGAAAGCCUUCGGCUUAACCGGAGGAGUGCAUUGGAAACUGGGGGGUUGGAGUGCAGAAGAGGAGAGUGGAACUCCAUGUGUAGCGGUGAAAUGCGUAGAUAUAUGGAGGAACACCAGUGGCGAAGGCGGCUCUCUGGUCUGUAACUGACGCUGAGGUUCGAAGGCGUGGGUAGCAAACAGGAUUAGAUACCCCUGUAGUC
rnacentral:rRNA from 1 species